AAUGCACUAGUCAGUCGUGUUUUAACUUCGUUACGGCAAUGGCACUUAAUAACAGAAAAAGACGUUCGUUAACGAUAACGGCAUCAACCAGUCGCAAACUAAAAUGUUUGUCGGACAGUGUGGAUGUUAUAUGUUGGGUUGCAUAUAUGGUUUACCGUGACAAAGCUUCUGGAUAUUUAAUAUUGCUAUAGCCAUCUUACCUCUAAGAAAAGGAGAGAUGGCCCACCUGUUGUUUAGGAAAGAUGGCCAUAGUUUGAAACGGUUAUUUGUUUUAGAUACCGAAAACAUACAAACGGAUUUCUCUGGAAAGAGGAAAAUGGACAGAGAAUCAACUGAAAAAUGCAAUGGCGGCUAUCCAAAACAACCAAAUGUCGGUCCGUCUUGCAACAGUAAGUUUUGGAAUACCGAAAAAAACUUUGGAGCGACGGGUAAAAAGUUCAAACAAAACUAAACUUGGUCCCCACUCUGUCUUUGGGAGCGCUCAUGAACAACGACUUGUUCGGCAUAUCAAGGAAAUGCAAAAAAGUGGAUUUCCGUUAACUCGAGAUGAUUUACGAAGCAUGGCAUAUAAAUGUGCCGUACAAUUAGGUAUUAAACACAGAUUUAAUAAAGAAGAUGAAAAGGCAGGAUAUGUUUGGUUGCAAUCAUUUCUCACUAGACAUUCAGACAUAUCUAUUAGGAAAGCAGAAGGUUUAUCACUAGCAAGGAGUAAAAUUGUGAGAAUUAUUAGAAAAAACUACCUGUAAUGUCUCAAGUCUCACCAACUUCGCAUUUUGAAUAUUGGUCAUAAAGCAGGUAUGGACAGAAAAAGAAGUCAAUUAUGGUACCAUUUUAAUGUUGACGCCACGUCAAAAAAGGCGAAAUGUCAUUAUUGCGCGAGCUUGUUAGUAUUGCCGGAGGGAGUUCUGGAAACCUUUCACGGUAUUUAAAGACCAAACACCCAACAGUGCCCGCUUCUAGAGCCCCUUCGUCCACCUCUUCAGCUGCAGCUUCCGAUUCUGGUCCUAAUUUAAGAUUGAAGAACCCUCAGGAGGCGACCGGCAGCUCAUCUUCGUCUGCUUCUCUUUUAAAUCCGCCUACGAACUCUUUGUGUCUUUCGUCAUUAUCAGUGCCCUCAUCAUUUGGUGGUAAAGUUCAGGGACAGGCUUCAAUUACAAAUUUUAUUGAAGUAGUGAAGCCGUUACCGCUAAGAAAGAGCCGUCUUUUAGAUGAGCAGCUGGUAAGAAUGAUCAGCAAGGGAUUUCAUCCAUUUAAGAUUGUUGGGGAACCAGAAUUUAAAAAAUUCGUGGCCAUGUUAAAUCCUUAUCAGCUGCCUUCUAGAAAGACGGUUUCUAACAGUUUGGUCCCGAGUUUAUUUAAAACUCGGGUCCAACAAAAAUUGAAUCUAGCUUCAGCAGUUUGUUUGACUACUGAUGGGUGGACGUCAUUAAAUAACACUUCUUAUUUAGCUCUAACAACACACUAUCUGCUGCAAAAUGCAGAUUUGUUAAUAAUUACCUCGUCCGUUUUGACAUGUACCGAAUUUUCCAAGAAGCACACGGCAGACAAUAUUUCAACUUGGUUACUUGAAACGGUUAAAGAUUGGGGUAUCUCUCAUCUCAAAAUCUCCGCAAUUGUCACAGACAAUGCAACAAAUAUGGUUGCUGCCAUUCGUCUGUGCAACUGCACAUUUUUUUAAUUUAAUUGUUCAAAAAGGCUUGAUGCACAUUGAGCAUAUAGUUUCUAAAGUAAAAGCUGUUCUGCAACACUUCAAACAAAGUGUCUAUGCAACAGCUAAGUUAGUAGAAACUUAAAAAACAAAUGAGUCUGCCGCAAUUAAAAUUAAAACAAGACGUGGUGACAAGGUGGAACUCAACUUUUGAUAUGCUAAACAGAUUUUUAGAAAAUAAAGACUGUUUAGUGUCCACUUUAGCCGUUUUGGGUUUAGACUCGAACAAAUUUAGCUUCUCAAACAGCGACUGGAUAACUAUAAAGUAUUCAGUCGCUGUUUUAGAAAUUUUUUCAAAUGUAACCAAAGAUAUUAGUGAUGAAAAAUCUGUCACAAUAUCAAAAAUUCCGAUAUUAGUGCGAAUCGUUGCUUUAAAAUUAAAUAAAAUAAUAAACAUCCCAUCUCUGGAUGAAAGAAUGUCUCUUGUUUGAACUGGACACAAGAUUCGGGGACAUUGAAAAACAUCCCGUCAUUAGUCAAGCAGUACUGCUGGAUCCUAGAUUCAAACAGCAGGGUUUUGGUAAUGACGAAAGACGGAAGGAUGCCUGUAAGGCUUUAAAAGAAUAAGUGAGAUCGAUGACUGCCAUGUCAUCGACUUCAGGGGUUGCUGAAUCUACUGAAUCUGCUGCACAAUCCACUCCGUCGACUUCGACCGCUUCCUCGUCGUUGUGGUUCGAAUUUGAAGAGGAAAAUAAAAAGUUAACGGGCGAUACCAACCCCACGGUGGUCAGUAUUAUUGAGGUGGACAAAUAUUUAACAGAACCACUUCAUCCCCGCCAUUUGAACCCGUUAACUUGGUGGACCGAACGACUGGCGAUUUACCCACACUUAUAUGAGCUGAUGACCCGAAGGCUAUGUAUAACAGAGACUUCGGUCCCGUGUGAACGUGUGUUUUCGACGGCGGGCCAUUUUUUUAACGAAAGAAGCACCCGACUGAAAUUGUCAGAGCUAAUUUUUUCACAGAAAAAUUUAGAAUAGAAGUUUUUAAACUGUAUUUUAAUGUUUGUAUUUUUUGAGUUAAUUACGUUAUUUAUUUUAUAGGUUUUUAUAGUUUUUAGAUUGUAUAUAUUUUAAUGUCAGUCGCGUAUUAAAAAAACGACUUGUUACACAAAC